rnacentral:lncRNA from 1 species
AAUUUGACUUUUUAUUAAUCUACAGUACUGUCUGGGCUUCUUGAGUUUUCAGUCUUAGAUCUAAUCUUAUGACCUUGAGCAAACUGUGUUCUUCUCUCUAAGCCCUGCUCUUUCAUUUGUGAAAUUAAUAUGAAUCUAUCAAUUCAUUGUCUUCCAAAACUCACAUAUCUUGAGUUUUGCAGUGUUUUUUUGUGUGUCUUCACUUUUAAAGGUGGUAACUGCAUUCAGUUCAGUUUCUUUGGUCCAUUGAUGAUUGAGCUUACAUAUAGUAUGCUAAUUUAAAAAAUAAACCAUACAAAGAAAACCAUGGGGUUUUAUAAAUAUGAAUCUAUAAGGGAUUAAACAAGAUUCAAAACACAGUAGUCAUCAAUAAAUUUUAUGAUAAUUAUUCCUUAAUAUGAAUCAUAUUUCGCUCUCAAUUUCUUCUAAAAUUCUCUCUUCACUCAUGGGCCAAAGUAAGAGAAAAGAAAACACAAUUAUGUACUUCACUGAAUUCUAAAGAGUACACUAUCCUCACCUUUCCAUGUAAUUUUAAAAAAAGAGGGUAAUCAUUCUAAUCUUAAUGUGAACAUUUGGUAGUAAUACUUUAGUCUAUUAUGGCAUUUAACUGGGUUGGAAUCACAAAACUAUUUUUCCCUCUCUCUCUUUUAAGGAACUGGCCUACUUCUACCCUGAGGUACAUGUAUUUUCUACCUGAAUAUAUAAAGAAUUACAUUAAUACACAGAAACAAAUAAAAGGCCAUGAUAGAUUAACAGAGGUACCUAUUCCAAAAUUUCAGAAAAGAAAUAAUGUUUUUGCACCAAAACCUUAUAGUUAUGAAGGGGCACUGGGCUAGGAAUUAGAGAAUUCUUUUCUCUUUAUUC